rfam:Myotis lucifugus cont2.28375, whole genome shotgun sequence.
AGCAGUUCUUGGGUGAUGCACCCUGGAACUUGAGAGGUGGGAGCUUGAUUCUGGGGUGCAUCACCCAAGAACCACC